rnacentral:rRNA from 1 species
UACAGAGGGUGCAAGCGUUGUUCGGAAUUAUUGGGCGUAAAGCGCGUGUAGGCGGCUUUGCAAGUCGGGUGUGAAAGCCCUCAGCUCAACUGAGGAAGUGCGCCCGAAACUGCAGAGCUUGAGUACCGGAGAGGAUGGCGGAAUUCCCCAAGUAGAGGUGAAAUUCGUAGAUAUGGGGAGGAACACCGGUGGCGAAGGCGGCCAUCUGGACGGAUACUGACGCUGAGACGCUAAAGCGUGGGUAGCAAACAGG